CCCGGAGUGGUUCAGACUGGAAAGAGGGAGAGGAGAGGAGGGGAGGGAGCCACGCUGCUGUGGAGGUGGGAGAGAAAGAGGAGGAAACUUUCUGAUCAUUGUUUCCCCUCUCCUCGCCCUGCAGCUGUUUGGAGGCUGCAGCACUGAAGACCAUGAACUCAUCAAUUCCUGGCUGCUGCACAUUAAAAAAUAAAAUCCUGUUUCCUAUGCACCAAUGCAGCAACACUUCUCAUAGCUACAUGCAGAGUUCUUGCCCGAAGACAGCAUGUUGCAGUUAAAGGCACAGUGUGUAGGAUUUGUUGUUUUCAGCGACAUCUAGUGGUUGAGUGGUUGAAUCAUCCUCCCUGG